AAAGGAUAAAAAAUGGUGUCAUUUUGGGAAAAUCCUAAAAACGAUGCCGUUUUGAUGAAAGACAAAAAAAAGUUGCAAAGGCAUGUUUGCCUCCAUAAGGGGAGGAGGAAGAGGUGUGUAUGCCUCUAGUGUCUGCACGAGAAGGAGAGGAAAUCUGCAUAUCGAUGAAGGAAGAAGAGGCAAUGAGAAAAUUAAAAAAUAAAAGAUAAUUAGAACACCACUGUAACUGUAACUAAUGAUAGUGAGGAACUAGUUGUAUUUUCAUUUGUUGAGGAUCAUAGUCAUGUCAUUGAUUUUAAUACUAAGUAGGUUAUUGAUUCUAUAACAUCCUAUCAU
rnacentral:lncRNA from 1 species